rnacentral:rRNA from 1 species
CGCAAUGGACGAAAGUCUGACGGAGCAACGCCGCGUGAGUGAUGAAGGUUUUCGGAUCGUAAAACUCUGUUGUUAGGGAAGAACAAGUACCGGAGUAACUGCCGGUACCUUGACGGUACCUAACCAGAAAGCCACGGCUAACUACGUGCCAGCAG